GAUGAAGAACGUAGCGAAAUGCGAUAAGUAAUGUGAAUUGCAGAAUUCAGUGAAUCAUCGAAUCUUUGAACGCACAUUGCGCCCCCUGGUAUUCCGGGGGGCAUGCCUGUCCGAGCGUCAUUACAACCCUCAAGCUCAGCUUGGUGUUGGGCCCCGCCGCCCCGGCGGGCCCUAAAGUCAGUGGCGGUGCCGUCCGGCUGCGAGCGUAGUAAUUCUUCUCGCUCUGGAGGUCCGGUCGUGUGCUCGCCAGCAACCCCCAAUUUUUUUCAGGUUGACCUCGGAUCAGGUAGGGAUACCCGCUGAACUUAAGCAUAUCAAUAAGCGGAGGA
rnacentral:misc_RNA from 1 species